GACUACAGGGGUAUCUAAUCCUGUUCGCUCCCCACGCUUUCGUGCCUCAGCGUCAGUUUCAGUCCAGAAAGCCGCCUUCGCCACUGGUGUUCUUCCUAAUAUCUACGCAUUUCACCGCUACACUAGGAAUUCCGCUUUCCUCUCCUGUACUCUAGCUUGAUAGUUCCAAAUGCAAUCCUCGGGUUAAGCCCAAGGCUUUCACAUCUGACUUACCAUGCCGCCUACUCACCCUUUACACCCAGUAAUUCCGGAUAACGCUUGCCCCCUACGUAUUACCGCGGCUGCUGGCACGUAGUUAGCCGGGGCGUCUUAUUCAGGUACCGUCAUUUCUUUCGUCCCUGUUGAUAGAAGUUUACGAGCCGAAACCCUUCUUCCUUCACGCGGCGUUGCUGCAUCAGGCUUUCGCCCAUUGUGCAAUAUUCCCCACUGCUGCCCCCCGUAGG
rnacentral:rRNA from 1 species